UUAGGAAAAGCAGACCAAUGAGACAGUGGGAUGAAUGGGUGCCAAUUGGAGAUGGACUGGAUAUAGGUAGGAAACACAGGGACUGAGAAAAAUAAGGUUGUGUGUUAUUGUGAGUCUGAGCUUUUAGAUGUAGUUGCUUUCGACCUCAUGGGACAAUUGUGAAGAAAUAUUUAUUUAGUGGUCAAGAGCAGAAAGGCUCUGUGAUCAAUUUGCAAUUGCUUAAAGCAAUGUGUUUCAGUUUCAU
rnacentral:lncRNA from 1 species